UUAUACCUAUGCCCUAACCGUUUUCACUCUCACACUCCCGACUGAUUUCCCCCAAAUUUGAUUUCGCUCGCUUGAUUGUUUGAAGAAGAGACCAUGGUCGUGAUGAAGAAUCUGAUUUCGCUCGAUUGUGAAAUCUGAUUUCGCUCACUCGAUCGUCUGAAGAAAUUGAUUGUGAUCGAUUCUCAAGAACUGUGGGAUUGCUUGUGAUCGAUUUCGGUCUAUAGAUCACCAACAGUAUGAACUCCCUUUCUCUCUCUCGACUCAGUGAAUCUUUUUCUGAUGUGGUUGGGAGUCCAUAUUAUGUUACGCCAGAGGUGUUGCAUAAGCACUAUGGACUUGAAACAGAUGUAUGGACUGCUGGAGUUAUUUUGUACAUUUUACUCUUUGGAGUGCUUGACAGAAAUCCAAAGAGAAGGCUAUCUGCCCAUGAAGUUUUGUGUAAUAAGUUUCCUUCACCACUACAAAGGAAGAUCAUAUGUUGGAAUUUUGUUGGAAAGCCACCAAUGGAUUGUUGAUGACAGAGAUGCCCCAGAUAAACCUCUUGAUUUUGCAGUGCUAUCACGCCUGAAGCAGUUUUCUGCAAUGAACGAACUUAAGAAGAUGGCUUUACGUGGUGUUCUUUACGCAAUUAGCAUCACUGAUUUGUCUAGUUGAAUUAGAAGAUAAUCCAGUUCAAAUAGUGUUGAGGGAGUAGUUGAUAUGAUUGAGUGGGUGAUAUUGAGAGCUAAACUGAGGUAUUUUUUAUUUUUAUUUUUUGAGUAAUUGAAUAUAUUAGUAUUUUGUAUAAAUACUUUUAAGGAUGGUAGAUGGAUAUUUGUUUUGCAUGUAUAGAAGUUUAUAUUUUGUAUGCA